rnacentral:rRNA from 1 species
GACGAACGCUGGCGGCGUGCCUAAUACAUGCAAGUCGAGCGCAGGAAGCCGUCUGAACCCUUCGGGGGGACGACGGCGGAAUGAGCGGCGGACGGGUGAGUAACACGUAAAGAACCUGCCCAUAGGUCUGGUAUAACCACGAGAAAUCGGGGCUAAUACCGGAUGUGUCAUCGGACCGCAUGGUGCGCGGAUGAAAGGCCCGCCGCAGUCGCCCAUGGAUGGGUUGGCGGUGCAUUAGCUAGUUGGGGGGGUAACGGCCCACCAAGGCGACGAUGUAUAGCCGACCUGAGAGGGUGAUCGGCCACCCUGGGACUGAGACACGGCCCAGAAUCCUACGGGAGGCAGCAGUAGGGAAUCUUCCACAAUGGACGAAAGUCUGAUGGAGCAACGCCGCGUGAACGAUGAAGGCUUUCGGGUCGUAAAGUUCUGUUGUAAGGGAAGAACAAGUGCCGCAGGCAAUGGCGGCACCUUGACGGUACCUUGCGAGAAAGCCACGGCUAACUACGUGCCAGCCGCCGCAGUAA